GAGCGAGUGAGCGAGAGAGGGAAAGAGUGAGGGAGUAAAGGAGCGAGGGCGAGAUGAAUUCACGGAUGUUCGUGUGAAGUGACUUACAACUUUUAGAGGACUGAAAUACCAUGGCAGUUUAAAAGACAAUAGAUUUUUGACUCCGUGUUGGCAUUUGGAUUUUUAAGAUCUUUGUUUUUUUGGUCAAUUAUUUUUUUUGCGUAGAUUUCCUUUCUUCGUGUGUGGUGCGGAUUUGUGCGAAUUAUUCGAUAUAGAAACAGUUUAAAAGGAACAC